rnacentral:rRNA from 1 species
GUAAGGUCCGAGCGUUGUCCGGAAUCAUUGGGCGUAAAGGGUACGUAGGCGGGUAAGCAAGUUAGAAGUGAAAUCCUAUAGCUCAACUAUAGUAAGCUUUUAAAACUGCUCAUCUUGAGGUAUGGAAGGGAAAGUGGAAUUCCUAGUGUAGCGGUGAAAUGCGCAGAUAUUAGGAGGAAUACCGGUGGCGAAGGCGACUUUCUGGCCAUAACCUGACGCUGAGGUACGAAAGCGUGGGUAGCAAACAGGAUUAGAUACCCUGGUAGUCCACGCCGUAAACGAUGAGUGUUAGGUGUCUGGAGUAAAUCUGGGUGCCGCAGCUAACGCAUUAAACACUCCGCCUGGGGAGU